rnacentral:rRNA from 1 species
AGUGAACGCUGGCGGUAGGCCUAACACAUGCGAGUCGAACGGCAGCACAGUAAGAGCUUGCUCUUACGGGUGGCGAGUGGCGGACGGGUGAGGAGUACAUCGGAAUCUACUUUUUCGUGGGGGAUAACGUAGGGAAACUUACGCUAAUACCGCAUACGACCUACGGGUGAAAGCAGGGGAUCUUCGGACCUUGCGCGAUUGAAUGAGCCGAUGUCGGAUUAGCUAGUUGGCGGGGUAAAGGCCCACCAAGGCGACGAUCCGUAGCUGGUCUGAGAGGAUGAUCAGCCACACUGGAACUGAGACACGGUCCAGACUCCUACGGGAGGCAGCAGUGGGGAAUAUUGGACAAUGGGCGCAAGCCUGAUCCAGCCAUACCGCGUGGGUGAAGAAGGCCUUCGGGUUGUGAAGCCCUUUUGUUGGGAAAGAAAAGCAGCAGGUUAAUACCCCGCUGUUCUGACGGUACCCAAAGAAUAAGCACCGGCUAACUUCGUG